rnacentral:lncRNA from 10 species
CGGGCGCGGUGGCUCACGCCUGUAAUCCCAGCACUUUGGGAGGCCAAGGCGGGCGGAUCACGAGGUCAGGAGAUCAAGACCAACCCGGCUAAAACGGUGAAACCCCGUCUCUACUAAAAAUACAAAAAAUUAGCCGGGCGUGGUGGCGGGCGCCUGUAGUCCCAGCUACUUGGGAGGCUGAGGCAGGAGAAUGGCGUGAACCCGGGAGGCGGAGCUUGCAGUGAGCCGAGAUCCCGCCACUGCACUCCAGCCUGGGCGACAGAGCGAGACUCCGUCUCAAAAAAAGAAAGAAAGAAAAACAGGCAACCAGAAUACUAAAAUAAUCCACUUGGAUGGAGUUCUCCAGUAAGCCACCUUUCUUCGCAAUUCUUAUAAGGUCAAAAUAAAGGACAACAUUAAAUUGCGAAUGCCAAUGACACCCCAAGAUGAAAAAGUUACAAACAUGUCUAGAAUACACGCUGCAGGGGAAGAAGCAACCACAUAAAUGAAACUUCAUAAAGAAUGUAGAAAACAGCCCUGCACCGCUGACAGCACAGAGUGACAUCUAAGGAUUGAACAUGUGGAGCCCGGCAUGCUAGGACCAUUACCAAUCAUUUCUACUGUGUCAUUAUUCAAGGCUGUCUCUAGUUCUGAACACUGAUACAACAAUUCAUUGGAAAUACGCUACAACAACACAAAGAAAUGGUAUGUUUGGGAUAACCGCUUUGGAAAACUACAAUGAUAUAUUUUAAAAAUUAAAGAACUAAAGACAAUCC